rnacentral:tRNA from 1 species
CCUCUCAUAGCUCAAUGGUAGAGCGGUGGACUGUAAUACUGAAUACCUUGGGUUCGAAUCCCGUUCAGGUGA